GCACGUCCACACCUCACCAGAUCCACCACCCCAUCAAACACCGGCAACCGCUGCUGUAAUGGCACGUGAAGUGGCACCAAACCUCUGAUUGCCACCACUUCAUUAUUAGGCGCAUUGAAAUUCAUUGUGGUAGUGAUUACAGUCACAUUGUACUGCUUCAUUCUUGCUGCGAAAGUACCAGUACCGCCGCCAAUAUCAAUACCAAGUCUGAUCAAAGAAUUAGCUGAUUUGGCUACUUGUAGCAGUUGUGGAAUUGGGAGAUCUAACUCUGUUUUAUAUGUCAUAAACCUUGAGAUCUCAGCGCUUAUAUCAAAACCAAGAUUCGGGCUCUGUUUAGCAAGACAAGAAAAGGAUUUGCAAGAAUAUUGAGCCCAU
rnacentral:misc_RNA from 1 species